UCAGCGUUGAGAUUCUAAAGUAACUUGACAUUCCCCUCUGUAAGAUGGAAAGUUAGGAAUGGGGAGAAAAGAAAACUAAAGAAGCACCCCAGAGGCUGUGAAACUGGAAGACACCACUCCCUCUUCUAGGCUAGAUUCUACCCUGUAGGGCGGGGUGUUUACCUGGUGUGUAAACUGUGAGCCAAGCCCUGGGGGUCUGAGAAAGGAAAGCCACAACACGAGCUGCGGUGUUUUAGCUUUGAAGAUAAACAAAGACCAGGAACUGAGCUCCCUGAAAGCCAGAAGCUAGCGUGGAGAAGGCAACAAAGACUUUCAGCCUGUGGUCACCGCAAAGAUUACAUCCCAGGAUUAGUAACUGGGCAUAAUAGGAAGUGCCAUUCACCCUACAGACUCCAGCACAACCGUGUUCCUCCCAGAGAUUCUUCUAGCAAGACAAAAAAUGCCCUGAAUAGAGAUCAUGGGUGAAGCAGUGCCGAACAGCUCUGAUGUGCGUGGAACAAAAACCCACCUCUUUGUAGAACAUAACAAAUUAUGCAGUGUUCACAGAUGCGCUUCACAUUGCCCUUUUGUGAGAAAACGAAGCCCCACUCUGUCCCCCCUUCCUCCAAGAGAGCCCAGGCCCCUAAUGUGAUCUGUCCUCAGGGCAGAAAACAAGACAUCUCCUUAAUGGGAACACUUUCCUUGAGUUCUUUUGGAAAGCUUUUCGUUUGGACCUUUGGGCUAUGUAGUUUUUGCAAGUAAGAAUUCCAAGUCACUAGCGGCUAUUUCUAUCAACAAGAGAACAGUCUGGGGUUUCUAGGAUUACAUUGUUGCCAUUCCCAUUGGGGGCCUCAGGAUUAUGCUGCCAUUCCCACCUGAUGCCUACCUUUGACUUUUAGAUAUUUAGUGGAAAUCCUGUCAUUGUAUAAUUGAUAUAAUGCUUGAACUAUAUAUGAGUAAACAAAUGUGAUGGUUUUUCCCUAAUUAAAAUGUCAAAAUAUAUUCU